rnacentral:rRNA from 1 species
UACGUAGGGUGCAAGCGUUGUCCGGAAUUACUGGGCGUAAAGGGUUCGUAGGUGGCCACUUAAGUCAGACGUGAAAUCCCUCAGCUUAACUGGGGAACUGCGUCUGAUACUGAGUGGCUUGAGUGCAGGAGAGGAAUGCGGAAUUCCAGGUGUAGCGGUGAAAUGCGUAGAUAUCUGGAGGAGCACCGGUGGCGAAGGCGGCAUUCUGGACUGUAACUGACACUGAGGAACGAAAGCCAGGGGAGCAAACGGG